CACUUGAAAUAAUCUACACGCAAAUUAUAAAUAAAUACAAAAAUUCCCUGAAAACACUUCAGUGGUAGCUACCAUCUACCCCCGUCUACAUUAGGUUGGUUUGUGAUCUUGCUCCGUUUGGCAGUUCGUGGAACUGAGACGCAGAAGGCGGGAAUCACGCAGGGCUAGUGCACCAGAUGACCCACAUGCUGCAUGGGUCUGCUGCCUGGGCUCCUGCAGGUAGAGAAGGAAAGAGACAAAAUCAUUUUGCAGCUGAUUCACACCAUCACCAAAAAAACGGAAUGGACAGUCAGCAGGUUCACACUGUCACCUCCUCCUGCAUCCACAGCACAGGAAGCAGAGCAGGGCUGGUUGGCAAAUGUCACAUUCUUGUGGCCCAUUUGGUGGGUUGCCAAGGGACCUGACCAUUUUGGGUAAGACAGCAUGUAAUUUGUAAUUUGUAUUUUGCUAGCCUGCUGAAAUAGAAUUAAAAUAUGCAAUGUAAAAGAAUUAGACAAAUCUUGAAAAAUAUAUUUAUUUAAUGAAUUAAUUGAUCAUUUAAAAAAAGAAUACCUAAUUAAAUCUAUGUUUUAUUGUUACUGUGUGAACGCAAAUUAGGAAUUACUUUUCUUAGCAGAUAUACAAAUAAAUAGUCAUUGGGUAAUACUCCAAUUAAUAUUUUAAGGAACAAACAAACGACUGUGACACACAUUAUUUAUUAAAUUGACAGGUAUCCAAAGUAAAAAAAAAAGAAAAAAAGAAUUACAUUCAAUUUUUUAAAAAUUUACCAAUGUAAAAUUUUUAAGUAGUAAUAGGAAUAAUGUCCCAUUAGUAACACAAACUGUUUAGAAGUAGUAAUUUGAACGUCAUAUCAUGUAAAAUGUAUUAUCUUUUCAUAAGUUUGACGUGUAUGCUUAGUCUGCACACCAUAAUUAUGUAAAUAUUAUUAAAAUCAUCAGCACAUCAUUGUUUAAAAUGAGGUGUGCACCAUACAAUAGUUUUAAUGUAGUACUUAUUGUAAGACCUGAGGUAAUCACAGUUGAAAUGGUAAUGAGCUGUGUGGGUGUUGGAUGUUCAUAGAUGGCCAGGAGGGUGGAUGACAGACUGUAUAUUUUGCUAGAAAGAUUGUAUGGUUCAAUACUCUGCAGUUCACAUGUGGUCCCUGAUUCCAUUCUGUGUUUGCACUGAUUUAUAGUAGGGACAAUCAAAGGCAUGGCCCUUCCCGUUUAAAAUUUCACCCUAAAAAAUUAGGGUGAAAUAUUACAUUUUGAAUAUUUUCAAGUCUGCAAGUAUUUCAGCUAAAUGUUUUUUGUAUGCAAAUCAUAAAUGAAAAUACAUUUCAUUCAUU